rnacentral:misc_RNA from 1 species
UCGAGCGUCAUUACAACCCUCAAGCUCUGCUUGGUAUUGGGCGUCACCGCUUCGGUGCGCCUUAAAAUCAGUGGCGGUGCCAUUCGGCUUCAAGCGUAGUAAUACUUCUCGCUUUGGAGAACCGGGUGUGUGCCUGCCAGCAACCCCCAAUUUUAUCAAAGGUUGACCUCGGAUCAGGUAGGGAUACCCGCUGAACUUAA